GACGAACGCUGGCGGCGUGCUUAACACAUGCAAGUCGAACGAUGAAGCCGGAGCUUGCUCUGGUGAAUUAGUGGCGAACGGGUGAGUAACACGUGAGUAACCUGCCCUUGACUCUGGGAUAACUGCUAGAAAUGGUAGCUAAUACCGGAUACGACCCUCGGAGGCAUCUCCAGGGGGUGGAAAGAAUUUCGGUCAAGGAUGGACUCGCGGCCUAUCAGCUAGUUGGUGAGGUAACGGCUCACCAAGGCGACGACGGGUAGCCGGCCUGAGGGGGUGACCGGCCACACUGGGACUGAGACACGGCCCAGACUCCUACGGGUGGCAGCAGUGGGGAAUAUUGCACAAUGGGCGCAAGCCUGAUGCAGCAACGCCGCGUGAGGGAUGACGGCCUUCGGGUUGUAAACCUCUUUUAGUAGGGAAGAAGCGAAAGUGACGGUACCUGCAGAAAAAGCACCGGCUAACUACGUGCCAGCAGCCGCGGUAA
rnacentral:rRNA from 1 species